UAUGGGGUCUCUGUGGGUCUGAAUGGGGCACAGUGAGGUGUCUAUGGGGCACGGAGUGGACGCUGUGGGGUCUAUGGGGCCUCUGUGGGUCUGAAUGGGGCUCGGUGGGGUUUAUGGGGUCUCUGUGGGUCUGAAUGGGGCACAGUGGGGUCUCUAUGGGUCUGAACGGGGCACCGUGGGGUCGCUGGGGGGCACAGUGGGGUCUAUGGGGUCUCUAUGGGGCACAGUGGGGUCUGUGGGGUCUGUAUAGGCCACAGAGGAGUCGCUGUGGGGCACAGUGGGAUCGCUGUGAGUUACUAUGGAGUCUUUGGGGUCUCUGUGGGGCACAGUGGGGUCUAUGGGGUCUCUAUGGGGCACAGUGGGGUCUAUGGGGUCUGUAUAGGCCACAGACGAGUCGCUGUGGGGCACAGUGGGAUCGCUGUGAGUUACUAUGGAGUCUUUGGGGUCUCUAUGGGGCACAGUGGGGUCUAUGGGGUCUCUGUGGGGCACACAGGGGUCUAUGGGGGCCCUAUGGGGUUGCCAUGGGGCACAGAAGGAUCUGGGGGAUCUCUGUGGGGUCCGUCUGGGUUGCUGUGGGUCACGGGGGGGGUUUAUGGGGUCGCUGUGGGUCCCGCUAUGGGUCGCUGUGGGUCACAGGCGCCACCCGCAACCUGUACCACCUGAAGGUCGUCGAGUACGAGCGGCAGCAUCAGUGCCGGGGGGGGGCAGGUGGGUGCCCCAUAGCUGCCCCAUAACCACCCCCAAACCGCCCUAUAGCUGCCCCAUAACCCCACGGCCACGUGACCCCCGUGUGCCCCAUAUCUGCCCCAUAACUGUGCCAUAACCCCAUG
rnacentral:lncRNA from 1 species